UUGUUUUAGCAGGAAAAGAAGUCAAUGGUGAUCCUAAGUCAAUUGAGAAGUGUGGAAUUGGCAACAGUCCAUCAAGUGCUAUUACUUUAGCUGAUUGCAGGAAAGAGUUUUGUUGCAGCAAUCCUAAUGCUUCGCCAAGUAUUAUCCACUGGAAAGAUUGCACUGCUUGUCCUACCUUAUGUAUCAAUCUGUGCUGAAAAUGCUGAACAUUUGGAAUCACUCUGUCGGCCAAUGAAACAAGCAUGUUUGCAGUUUCUAUGGGAGCCAAGGUGGUGGAACACUUCCUAAGGAUACAUCUAUUGUAGUAUGUACAAUUGAGAAGGCAAACUCUCUAUAAACAGAUUAUUAGAAGAAAGUCGACUUUCAGAAGUUGGAAUUAUUGUAAUUGAUGAGCUUCAUAUGGUGAACAUCUGUUGU